rnacentral:lncRNA from 1 species
UGCACCCAUGGAGGUAGCGGACCAAAAGGAGAUGGCGGAGGAGGCCAUGGAAGAGGGGCCCAAAGGGUCCCGCCAGGCCCGGAGGCAGGUGACGCCCAGAGUCCCCGCCAGCAUUUCCUUUGGGCAAGGAGCCCCCCGGGCCUUUGAGGGCAGGAGCGGCAGGAGGAAGCGGCCCUGAACAGAAGGACCGGCUGCUGGACGGCCCUCUCCCACGCUCUUCCCCUUUGCCCUUGGGCCUGGCCAGGAGUGGCCGGGGUCAGUCUUCUCAGGGAUGUGUUCAGAAAUAAACCAGCAUCCAGCCCAUACAGUCGUGUUUCCGCUCUGUUCUGCACAGACGCCAAAGGGGAGGAGGGUGUAUCCAAAAAGAUAUAAAAUCCACGUUUCCAAAUCAAUUUAAACCAGGGGUCCUCGAACUUUUAAAGCAGAGGGCCAGUCCACAAUCCUUGAGACUGUGGAGGGGCCAAAUUAUCAUAAAAAAAACCAAAUUCCUAUGCACACUGCACGUGUCUUAUUUGUAGUGCAAAACAACAACAACAAUGAAAGAACAAUACAAUAUUUAAAAAUGAAAACAAUUGUAGCCAACACAAACCUAUCAGGAUUUCAAUGGGAAGUGUGGGCCUGCUUCUGGCCAAUGAGAUAGUCAAGUGAAUUAGGAUUGUUGUUGUUGUUGUGUGCCUUCAAGUCAUUUCAGACUCUGGGUGAGCCUAAGUCUAAAUUUAUUUAUUUAUUCAUUUACUACAUUUAUUUACUAUAUUUAUAUCCCGCCCUUCUCAUCCCGAAGGGGACUCAGAGCAGCUGUAUGUACAUACAAUACAGUAGAGUCUCACUUAUCCAACACUCGCUUAUCCAACGUUCUGGAUUAUCCAACACAUUUUUGUACUCAAUGUUUUCAAUAUAUUGUGAUAUUUUGGUGCUAAAUUCAUAAAUACAGUAAUUGCAACAUAACAUAACUGCGUAUUGAACUACUUUUUCUGUCAAAUUUGUUGUAUAACAUGAUGUUUUGGUGCUUAAUUUUUAAAAUCAUAACCUAAUUUGAUGUGUAAUACGCUUUUCCUUAAUCCCUCCUUAUUAUCCAAGAUAUUCGCUUAUCCAAGCUUCUGCCGGCCCGUUUAGUUUGGCUAAGUGAGACUCUACUGUAUAUUGGAAACUAAGCAAGGGAGGUUUAUAUAUCUGUGGAAUUCCAUACAUGAAUCAAUCAGGGGCAGCUAACGACUCUGAACAAAGAAUUCCUCCAGGCAGGAAGAAGCCA